rnacentral:rRNA from 1 species
AUUGAACGCUGGCGGCAGGCUUAACACAUGCAAGUCGAGCGGAGUGAUGGUGCUUGCACUAUCACUUAGCGGCGGACGGGUGAGUAAUGCUUAGGAAUCUGCCUAUUAGUGGGGGACAACAUCUCGAAAGGGAUGCUAAUACCGCAUACGUCCUACGGGAGAAAGCAGGGGAUCACUUGUGACCUGUCGCUAAUAGAUGAGCCUAAGUCGGAUUAGCUAGUUGGUGGGGUAAAGGCCUACCAAGGCGACGAUCUGUAGCGGGUCUGAGAGGAUGAUCCGCCACACUGGGACUGAGACAUGGCCCAGACUCCUACGGGAGGCAGCAGUGGGGAAUAUUGGACAAUGGGGGGAACCCUGAUCCAGCCAUGCCGCGUGUGUGAAGAAGGCCUUAUGGUUGUAAAGCACUUUAAGCGAGGAGGAGGCUCUUUUGGUUAAUACCCAAGAUGAGUGGACGUUACUCGCAGAAUAAGCACCGGCUAACUCUGUGCCAGCAGCCGCAGUAA